rnacentral:rRNA from 1 species
AACGAACGCUGGCGGCAUGCCUAACACAUGCAAGUCGAACGAGACCUUCGGGUCUAGUGGCGCACGGGUGCGUAACGCGUGGGAACCUGCCCUUAGGUUCGGAAUAACUCCCCGAAAGGGGUGCUAAUACCGGAUAAUGUCUUCGGACCAAAGAUUUAUCGCCUUUGGAUGGGCCCGCGUUGGAUUAGCUAGUUGGUAGGGUAAAAGCCUACCAAGGCGACGAUCCAUAGCUGGUCUGAGAGGAUGAUCAGCCACACUGGGACUGAGACACGGCCCAGAAUCCUACGGGAGGGAGCAGUGGGGAAUAUUGGACAAUGGGCGAAAGCCUGAUCCCGCAAUGCCGGGUGAGUGAUGAAGGCCUUAGGGUUGUAAAGCUCUUUUACCCGGGAUGAUAAUGACAGUACCGGGAGAAUAAGCUCCGGCUAACUCCGUG